CAGAUGAUCGAUCACUGUCUCUUUGUUCCUUGGUGUAUGCCAGGUGCCUCAGAACAAUGCCUGGCACAUAAUAGGAGCUCUGUAUUUUAGCUAUUAAGGACCCCGAAUGAAUUCUGAAGAUUAUAUUCUAAGGAUGCUUUGUGGUAUGGUAAGCAACUUGAUUGGCUAUGAAAAAUGAUGGGAAGUUGUAACACAUGCUGAGAAUCCUACAGCAUUGUCUUGAUAAAGAUGGUGAACAAGCAUGGAUACCUUCUGGUAAAUACCACACCUUGGCAGAGAGAGUGCAAACUCAGAGAAGAAAGGACCACAGACAAAAGGUAGAGGAAGAAUGUAUAUCAGAAGACAAAAUAUCUCAUAAACAGAAGACAAAUUUUGACUCCGUUCUUCAUGGUCUCCAAGGAAGAAUAAUAGCUGGGUUUUCUACAAAACAAACAAACAAAAAGUUUAAAGAAAAGAUACCUAGGGUGAAAGAAGACAGAAGAGAGAGAAAAGCUGAGCCAAUCAAUCAUGGUUAAGAGAUGAGAGAGAAAAAUAAAACCAUUUUAAAGAUGAAAGCCACAUGAGAAGCCACAAACAAUAAUAAACACAAGUAAAAACAAGGGAUAUACCAGUCAGAUUUGAGAGCCUCCUACAAAAAAAAAAUAAUCUGAUAGAAAUGAUUUCUCUGAAGAGGAUGCAUUGAAAGACAAAAGAUUAUCACGUAUUUGCUUGGUUUUUUGAAAGUAAGAGAGUAAGAGAUGGGAACAAAAAGUAUUCAAAGGCAUAGUAGAAGAUGAUGUUACUGAUAAAGAAAGAUUGUUAUGUGGAAGUUGGAAGGGCACACUGUUUACUAGAAAAAAACCUCUAGGAAGUAGGAAUUAGACAAAAUAUAUUGCUGAGUGGUCAAGGGCGCUAAGGGAAGCAGGACUGGGGAGUCCACUGGUGUUGGCAAUAGGGUCACUGCUGGCUGUUGUGAAAGCUGUACGAGGAGGACAGUAGGGCAGACGCUGGAAUAAACUGGGUAGAGAAGUGAGUCGAGGUGAGGAGGUGAAAAGAGCAUAGACAAAUCAUCUAAGAAAUUUCAUCAUGAAGGAAACGAAGGGUUAUGGAUGUACCUACAGAGGGACAUGAGAUUUAGAGAGGGUAUGUUUUUAAGAUGGGAGAAACUUGCACGUACUUAAACAUUCUUAGAAGACAGAGGAAAGCAGUGCUCAGCUUUAUCUGUGCACCGGAGGCACCUGGAAUCUUCUAAAAAACACAUUUUUUUUUCCCUUAAAAACAUGAUGUUGGGCCCCACCCACAAAGGCUCCCCUGCCAUUGGUAAUGGAUGUGGUUGGUGCUGGGAUUUUUAAAAGCUGCCCAGAUGAUUCUAAGGACUGGCUGAAUUUGAAAACCAUUUUCAGGAAAGUUGAAACCGCAUCCCAAGAAGAUGAGUGGUAAACUGAUCCUACGCUUGAUGGAGGGAUUAUCCCAAAAUUAGAGUAGGAUUUCCUCUUCCAUUGUGGCUGCAGGAAGUGGUGGGAACACUUUCAGACAGAUGGGAGCUAAAGGGAUUUCUGCUCUGGCUUCUGUUUUCUCUGUGAAGGUGCAGAAGGUAGAAGAAUGUGCUGGGAGGAAGAUGGGAAGGUCUGGAGAGGAGGAGCAAAUGUGCAGCAGUUUUAUGGGGAAUGAAGGAGAACACCAGGGAGGAACCCAGAGGCUGGGCGGGCAGUGUUGAGAGGCUGAAGUUCAAGGUCAUAGUUUCAUAGAGGCAGUUCCUUGUCCUUCCUAGGUGUAAAUAAAGCAUGACACAAAUGAGAGAGCAGUCAGUUUUCCAGUGAAGAGUAGAGAAGUUAGUUACUCCUGAGGUACUCUAAUUUUGUCCAUAAGACAGAGAAUCGACGCUGGUGGAAGUAAAAUAAAUAAAAAUAACCCAUUAGAUUAAAUUCUGUCUUAAUCUCCUUUGGCGAGGCUCUGCAUUGUUUCUGUGAAUACUGCAGAAAUGAAGCCAGACACUAUCAUUUUGCUCAGUUAAAUGGAAAGAAAUGACUUUUAGUCCUACUGGUUCAAAAACACAAGUAGUAAGUGCUCAAGGCCCUAACUCUUUCCCUAGGGUGACGUGUAUGUUCUAGAACUAGUAUGAGGUUUGCAGUAGAGAGCGUGUUGGCACCAUAGUAAUUAAGUGUUGAAACAAUGUGUGCACUCAGGCUGCAUCUAGAAAUAUAUUUUAGUCAACUUGGCAGGAGACAUAAACUCAAUCAGUUUUAAUAAAACAAUCCUGCUUUGUAAAUAUCACAAAUAGAAAGUUACUCUUUUUGUUAGGUCUUGCUGGCAGGGUCCUGGGAGUAGAGAUUUUAGUUUUUUAGCUUCAGGCCUCCGUUCUUUUAGUGCCUUUUCAGUUGCACAGAUAGUUUGCAUUUUAAAUCAUCUCACAUAACUUGCCAGAAGCUGUCCUUGAUGCUGAGGACAUUGUGACAUUUUCAAGGAAGGCUGAAAAGCCCUGGAUGCAAGAGAGCCCUCAUCCAUGGGGCACACCGAAAGCACACCAGAGCUGACUUCCACGAAGAGCCCAUGCAGAGACUGUGCAGUGAGAAGAAAAUAAAUACAUGCAUAAAAAUUAAAUCCAACCCACACAGCCUGAAACGUCUCUGGAUGUUUACUGAUGUCACAACUUCUUUUCAUUCCAGUGGCGAGGACAAAAUGAACAUUGAUUGUUGCUUGAGGAUCCCUGGGUGGCGCAGCGGUUUGGCGCCUGCCUUUGGCCCAGGGCGCGAUCCUGGAGACCCGGGAUCGAAUCCCACGUCGGGCUCCCUGCAUGGAGCCUGCUUCUCCCUCUGCCUAUGUCUCUGCCUCUCUCUCUCUCUGUGACUAUCAUAAAUAAAUAAAAAUUAAAAAAAAAUUUUUUUUGAUUGUUGCUUGAACAUGUUUUCAGAGCAAUUUCCUGAUCCUCUUAUCACUUGGUAAAGAAUACGGGUACUGUGUACCCCAUGUCUGACCCUUCUCCACACACUGACUUUUGCAGAUAACUAGCAUGACACAAAACUUGGCGGGUGAUGGAAAAAAAAUUGUUUACUCUCACAUUCACUACAUUUUUUUAAAUUGUGAAAUUAACUGUGGCA